rnacentral:rRNA from 1 species
UACAGAGGGUGCAAGCGUUAAUCGGAAUCACUGGGCGUAAAGCGCACGUAGGCGGAUCUUUAAGUCAGAGGUGAAAUCCCAAGGCUCAACCUUGGAACUGCCUUUGAUACUGGGGAUCUCGAGUCCGGAAGAGGUGAGUGGAACUGCGAGUGUAGAGGUGAAAUUCGUAGAUAUUCGCAAGAACACCAGUGGCGAAGGCGGCUCACUGGUCCGGUACUGACGCUGAGGUGCGAAAGCGUGGGGAGCAAACAGG